UACGUAGGGGGCGAGCGUUGUCCGGAUUUAUUGGGCGUAAAGCGCGUGUAGGCGGCUUUGCAAGUCGGAUGUGAAAGCCCACGGCUCAACCGUGGAAGUGCAUCCGAAACUGCAUGGCUUGAGUCUCGGAGAGGAAGGUGGAAUGCUUGGUGUAGAGGUGAAAUUCGUAGAUAUCAAGCAGAACACCUGCGGCGAAGGCGGCCUUCUGGACGAUGACUGACGCUGAGACGCGAAAGCGUGGGGAGCAAACAGG
rnacentral:rRNA from 1 species